GAUGAAGAACGUAGCGAAAUGCGAUAAGUAAUGUGAAUUGCAGAAUUCAGUGAAUCAUCGAAUCUUUGAACGCACCUUGCGCUCCUUGGUAUUCCGAGGAGCAUGCCUGUUUGAGUGUCAUUUCAACCCUCAUGCCCCUAGGGCGUGGUGUUGGGGAUCGGCCAAAGCCCGCGAGGGACGGCCGGCCCCUAAAUCUAGUGGCGGACCCGUCGUGGCCUCCUCUGCGAAGUAGUGAUAUUCCGCAUCGGAGAGCGACGAGCCCCUGCCGUUAAACCCCCAACUUUCCAAGGUUGACCUCAGAUCAGGUAGGAAUACCCGCUGAACUUAAGCAUAUCAAUAAGCGGAGGA
rnacentral:misc_RNA from 1 species